rnacentral:rRNA from 1 species
UCCGUAGGUAACCUGCGGAAGGAUCAUUAU